ACAACCCCAAGUGAGAAGGCUAAAUUCAAACCUUCCCUGUGCCUAGCCACACGGAAGUUUACUUUGAUGUGAAGGCCUCUAGAUAGAUAUUACAGAAAUCACCUCCCAGGGGCCUGGAAACCACCACCCCCUCCCCCAUCAAACAUACCUCCUCUUGACUUUAAAUGGAAGAUGGAUGAUUAGAACACACACCUGACUUCCUUCCACACCUGCUCCUGCCUCCUCCCCAUUAUUUUCCAAACCUAAGAGCUGGGCUUUCUCUUCAGUUUUCAUCCUGAAGUAAUCCUAACUUCACUUCCAAAGCCAGCAGAUCAUUGCAGUGAUCAGGAGGAAGGUCAUGUGCACGGAAGCACAAAAGAGAAAUGCCAGUUAUUCCAUUUUUCAAAAUAGGAUCCUGCUUACAUCAUUCAAGACUUCCUAUUUGACUUAGGGUUUCAAUUUAAAGGUCGCUGUCUUCAGGAGGAUUUCCUUGACCCGUGGCAUCCCUCAGAACAUCUUGUG